CUACUACAAUGCAUUGUGGGAAAAAGGACCCAAAAAGGAGGGAAAAGUCAGAGCAAGAGCAGCCAUUAGACUUCUUUCAGGCUUCAUCUGGAUUUUGGACUCUGGAGUUGGAGAAACUGCCUUCAAAUUUCCGUGUGCAGAGCAAUGGCCAAGCAAAGGAAAGACUUCCCCGAGUUAAAAAGAAGAUGAAGAUACAAGCUGGUGAUGAUCCAGAGCAGCUGGUCUCAGGAAAUGAAAUAAAACCCUGAUCACCUUUUCCACAGAAACAAGUCUCAAUGGCUGAGAUGGAGGAGCAACACAGCGACACGUUAACCAGACUGCUGCAGUUCCUGUAUGAACUGAGCAACUCUAAAAAUCCAAGGAAAGAUAAGAUAAUUAUUUGCAUCCAGUGGUGAACCAAGUAACCAACCACAGUAGGAAGUAUAGAUUCCCCUAAUUGUGCUGCUGAUAUUCUCUAUAAACUCUCUAUCUAUAAACUAUUUACAUUAAUGUUUGUGCAUAAUGGCUACCUCUGUCUGAUGAAGACACUAGCAGAUAGUCAAUUUGCCAGCAGGUUUGUGUGCACUGGAAACAUUAAUUCAUGUAUCAUGUCUGUCACCAAAACAGAUCUCUGCAGAUCCUGAAGUCGAACUCCCAGUGACCCCAUGCAUCCUAAUCAGAGGUGACCAGCAAUUCAAGAUUGCUGUUGAUGGGUUACUUGUCAAUGACCACAUCACCUCUCCCAUUGUGGCCUUGAGCUACGUCUUCUCCAUGUUUUAUGUCUGCAACGUCCAAUA